GAAAAUCCGUCGACUUUUAAAAUCGUGAGGGUUCAAGUCCCUCUAUCCCC
rnacentral:tRNA from 1 species